CACGCCGUAAACGAUGAGUACUAGGUGUAGGAGGUAUCGACUCCUUCUGUGCCGCAGUUAACACAAUAAGUACUCCGCCUGGGAAGUACGAUCGCAAGAUUAAAACUCAAAGGAAUUGACGGGGGCCCGCACAAGCAGCGGAGCAUGUGGUUUAAUUCGAAGCAACGCGAAGAACCUUACCUGGACUUGACAUCUCCUGAAUUACUCUUAAUAGAGGAAGCCCUUCGGGGCAGGAAGACAGGUGG
rnacentral:rRNA from 1 species